CUUGACAAAAUAUAAGAGGUCCAGCCUGCCCAGUGACCUAUGUUCAACGGCCGCGGUAUCCUAACCGUGCGAAGGUAGCGUAAUCACUUGUUCUUUAAAUGGGGACUAGUAUGAAUGGCAUCACGAGGGUUAAACUGUCUCCUUUUUCUAAUCAGUGAAACUAAUCUCCCCGUGAAGAAGCGGGGAUUAUUUUAUAAGACGAGAAGACCCUAUGGAGCUUUAAACAAAUUUACACCUGCUUUAAUAUAUCUUACCUCCUGAAUACUCACACAAAUAAUAGCAUGACUGUUAAAUAGUUUUCGAUUGGGGUGAUCAUGGAGAAAAAAACAACCUCCACGACGAUAAGGGAAUAUUCCUGAGCUAAAAGCCACAACUUUAAGCACUAAAAAAUUAACGCACUUUGACCCAAUUACUUGAGCAACGAAC
rnacentral:rRNA from 1 species